UACUUUAGUUCCUUGAGGUAUUGUGUAUCCACCUACUAUUGCAGAUUGGCUUGGGCGCUUUGGGACAAGCAAUGGUAAUGCAGGGUGUAAUCGUAACGUCUCCUUUAUAACUGCAUCAAGAUAGUGCAGCUCUGAAGCUCUGUCAUUACCCACUCGAUCGUUGUGAUUGUAGAGUCAGUCCCACCAAUAACAAUGUCCUACAAUGAAGAAACAUACAUAAAGAUACCACUCGACAUUCAUGUUUAGGUAUGAGUAUGUAUAUCUUCUUUUUAGGACUUAAAGAAAAGGGCAAUCUGGUGCACAAAACAUCCCGUACUAGCAAAGUCCGGAGAAGAGCCACACUCUUGGGUGUGAUUAGACAAUCUGACUGUUUCCAUGACUCGAACUCGUGACCAAUAUGUGGUUAGAGAAAUGAUUAGAGUUCUUGAUUAAGAUGCUUGAAUCACAUAAUUAGCUAAAUUAAUCUUACAAAGUUUGUAUGACACUGUUAAAUUGAAGUGUGUGACCAUUUCAUCUAAAAACUUAAGUUGUUAGAGAGAA